GGCGAUGCUGUUAGUGUGACGUAUAAAACAGCAGCAACAAUUUGUCAGAAACCUCGGUAGCUUGCAAGACAAAAUAGCCUAACAAAUAAAGCUCUUUAGACGCUUUCGUGUAUAUUAGCCACUGUGUUUUAAACACACUUCUGUCGUCUACUUAGUUAUCUGAUUUAAUUUCAUAUUUCAGUGUUAUUAUUCAGCUGCGGGCUGGUUAAGUUAUCAUUAGCCUAGCUAGCUAACAUCCCUGACCAUGCGGUCACUAAGCUACUCUCCUUCUAAAGAGGAGGAAGAUAUCACAGUAAAUCAAGAAGUAGAGAGUGAGGCCGUUACUGUGAAAGAAGAGGAAGACGCGUUCAGCGUGAAAGAGGAGGAGGAUGUUUCAGUAAAAGGAGAGGAGGAUGCAGUUUAUGGCUGGAAGAGAAGAUGACUGUUACAUCGAAAAAGGAGGAGGGACCUGGAUAUCUGGGCCCGAUUUCCCAAACGAAUAUAACACAUGCCUCAUGAGCUUAGUUCAACUGUUUUCCCCAUCAGAACCCCAAAUAAGCUUUUUUUACUCCAAUGUUUAGAAACAAUGUAAAUCAACACUGUAUCGCCUCAACAUGGUUAAAACUAUAAUGUUGAUAUAAUGGAUGGUCAGUCCUUGCAUCCAUAGGUCUGUCUGUAGUUACAUUUCUCCAAUCCCAUAAUCAUUUUAUUACCAAAACAGUGGUGGAAUGACAGAUUUGUUAUUGUUUGAACUGCAGAUUGCUGGGUUGUGUGGGUUUUUUAAACAGCAACAAAAUGGCUGCCCAGAGACUUGGUUUGGUGAACAGCAGAGGGAUGGGGGAAGGAGAAGUGUUUACCACUCUCAAAUUCAUAGAGAAAGCUAUUGUAGCAACCGUAACCCAACAACUAGCGACCAUGUCAAGAGGUUCCGACAUCUUGGCGUAACAGUUAUAAGGUGUUGGCUUACAGUCACUGGACCCAGGUUUUAGUUCAGCUCAGGGCCUCCCCCUGAAUUCACUAUGAAUACAAGGACUGGCCAUCCAUGAUGUCACAAUGAUUGUUUUAACCAGGUUUCUAGGCUAUAUAGUAUAUUCUAGAAUUCAUCCAUGAUGUCAUAAUGAUAGUUUAAACAGGUGCCUAGGCUAUAUAGUAUAUUCUAGAAUUCAUCCAUGAUGAGAAUUCAACCAUAAUUAGAGGUCGACCGAUUAUGAUUUUUCAACACCGAUAACGAUUAUUGGAGGACCAAAAAAGCAGAUUCCGAUUAAUCGGCCAAUUUAAAAAAAUGUAUUUGUAAUAAUGACAAUUACAACAAUACUGAAUGAACACCUAUUUUAACUUAAUAUAAUACAUCAAUAAAAUACAUUUAGCCUCAAAUAAAUAAUGAAACAUGUUCAAUUUGGUUUAAAUAAUGCAAAAACAAAGUGUUGGAGAAGAAAGUAAUAUGUGCCAUGUAAAAAAGCUAACGUUUCAGUUCCUUGCUCAGAACAUAUGAAAGCUGGUGGUUCCUUUUAACAUGAGUCUUCAAUAUUUCCAGGUAAGAAGUUUUAGGUUGUAGUUAUUAUAGGAAUUAUAGGACUAUUUCCCUCUAUACCAUUCGUAUUUCAUUAACCUUUGACUAUUGGAUGUUCUUAUAGGCGCUUUAGUAUUGCCGGUGUAACAGUAUAGCUUCCAUCCCUCUCCUCGCUCCUCCCUGGGCUCGAACCAGGAACACAACGACAACAGCCACCCUCGAGGCAGCGUUACCCAUGCAGAGCAAGGGGAACAACUACUCCAAGGCUCAGAGCGGGUGAUGUUUGAACCGCUAUUAGCGCAUGCUAACUAGCUAGCCAUUUCACUUCGGUUACACCAGCCUCAUAUCAUCAACCAUGUGUGGUUAACUAGUGAUUAUGAUUGAUUGAUUAUUUUUAUAAGAUAACUUUAAUGAUUUUAUUGAUGUUUUAUAUUAAGUUAAAAUAAGUCUUCAUUCAGUAUUGUUGUAAUUGUCAUUAUUACAAAUACAUUAAAAAAUAUAUUUAAAAAAUCAGUAUCGGCUUUUUUGGUCCUCCAAUAAUCGGUAUCGGCAUUGAAAAAUCAUAAUCGGUCCUCUAAUCCAAAGUAGUGUGAAAUGCACUCAUUAGCAACCUGGAAAUGGAGGUUACUCCCCUGAGUUUCCCCCAUUCAGAAUACAUUGUGAAAAACUAAAGUCUUUGCUCACCAUUUUUGCUCGAGGCAGAUAUACUACAUACAAUUUUAGCAAACACAGAAAGGGGCCUAUAUUGGAGACCAAAUGUCGUCUGGCACACUGCUUAGAGUUUCAACAACAUGAUUUACUUAUUUCUAGUCUACAAUCUUAGAUGUUACUACGAAUGUGAAAACAAGAUAAACUACGACUAUUCUUGCUCAUUCAUUACAGACAACAAAUGUUGUAAAACAUCAUGGCUACGCUGUUGGAAUCACCUUUUACAGUGGAUUACCACUGUUGUGGGCCUUUAAUCAUCUGUCUGACUUUGUUGUUCACACAGGAGAGAGACGGGACUAUCGUGGGUCUUCUGGGGAGCCUCAACAACCUCAUGAUUCUGACGAGGCAGAGAAGAGUCUCUAGAUCAGAACACCUCAAGAAACGCCUGCAGAGAUCCACAGGGAAGAGAAUUCACUGCUGCUCUGACUGUGGGAAGAGAUUCACCUCAUCAGACCUUAAAAUUCAUCAGCGAACACACACAGGGGAGAAAUCUUAUAGCUGUGAUCAAUGUGGGAAGAGUUUUACUACAUCUGGCUCUCUGACUUACACCAGAGAACACACACAGGAGAGAAACCUUAUAGCUGUACUCAAUGUGGGAAGAGUUUUACUCAGCUCAGCAGCCUAAUAACACACCAGAGAAUACACACAGGAGAGAAAUCUUGUAGCUGUACUCAAUGUCAGAAGAGUUUUACUAAUCCAUCCGGCCUGAUAUCACACCAGAGAACACACACAGGAGAGAAAUCUUAUAGCUGUACUCAAUGUGGGAAGAGGUUUACUCAACAAUGCAACCUGAUAUCACACCAGAGAACACACACAGGAGAGAAAUCCUAUAGCUGUGAUGAAUGUGGGAAGAGUUUUGCCCAAUCUGGAGCGCUGACAGUGCACCAGAGAAUACACACAGGAGAGAAACCUUAUAGCUGUAGUCAAUGUGGGAACAGUUUUGCUGCAUCAAGAUCUCUGACUCAACACCAGAGAAUACACACAAGAGAGGAAUCCUUUGUCUGUGAAUAAUGUGGGAAGAGUUUUGGUCAAUCUGGCCAUCUGGUAUCACACCAGAGAGAAUAAGUGUUGCGUUCCUUUGUUUAGUGACUCCUACAUUUAUAUGCAUCACUCCAACAUGUAGCUGACUGUCUUCUGCAGGUUGUCCUCUAAGCAGUGAGGAAAUGGGAGAUAUCUUUUACCAUGUAUUUGUUUAAGUUGUGUUAGUUUCAACAGCACGUACAACUUAAUUUCGCCUCUAAUCGAUAUCAGUGAUUUAUUGCUUCUUGUCAAAACAACAGCGUUUUUUAUGUUUGUGCAGUUUAUAAGGAGCUUGUUUUAAAAAUUACAAGUAAUAUGAUUAUUGUGUCAGAUGUUUGUGUAUACAGCACAUGUUAUGUUUUCAAAUUAUCCCAAACUGUUUCUGCAUAUUGGUUAUUGAUUUGGAGACAUUAAAAGUGUGUUUUGACAUUGGGGA